rnacentral:rRNA from 1 species
GGGUUGUGAGGUUAAGCGACUAAGCGUACACGGUGGAUGCCCUGGCAGUCAGAGGCGAUGAAGGACGUGCUAAUCUGCGAUAAGCGUCGGUGAGGUGAUAUGAACCGUUAUAACCGGCGAUUUCCGAAUGGGGAAACCCAGUGUGUUUCGACACACUAUCAUUAACUGAAUCCAUAGGUUAAUGAGGCGAACCGGGGGAACUGAAACAUCUAAGUACCCCGAGGAAAAGAAAUCAACCGAGAUUCCCCCAGUAGCGGCGAGCGAACGGGGAGGAGCCCAGAGCCUGAAUCAGUGUGUGUGUUAGUGGAAGCGUCUGGAAAGGCGCGCGAUACAGGGUGACAGCCCCGUACACAAAAAUGCACAUAUUGUGAGCUCGAUGAGUAGGGCGGGACACGUGGUAUCCUGUCUGAAUAUGGGGGGACCAUCCUCCAAGGCUAAAUACUCCUGACUGACCGAUAGUGAACCAGUACCGUGAGGGAAAGGCGAAAAGAACCCCGGCGAGGGGAGUGAAAAAGAACCUGAAACCGUGUACGUACAAGCAGUGGGAGCCUCUUAAUGGGGUGACUGCGUACCUUUUGUAUAAUGGGUCAGCGACUUAUAUUCUGUAGCAAGGUUAACCGAAUAGGGGAGCCGAAGGGAAACCGAGUCUUAACUGGGCGUUAAGUUGCAGGGUAUAGACCCGAAACCCGGUGAUCUAGCCAUGGGCAGGUUGAAGGUUGGGUAACACUAACUGGAGGACCGAACCGACUAAUGUUGAAAAAUUAGCGGAUGACUUGUGGCUGGGGGUGAAAGGCCAAUCAAACCGGGAGAUAGCUGGUUCUCCCCGAAAGCUAUUUAGGUAGCGCCUCGUGAAUUCAUCUCCGGGGGUAGAGCACUGUUUCGGCAAGGGGGUCAUCCCGACUUACCAACCCGAUGCAAACUGCGAAUACCGGAGAAUGUUAUCACGGGAGACACACGGCGGGUGCUAACGUCCGUCGUGAAGAGGGAAACAACCCAGACCGCCAGCUAAGGUCCCAAAGUCAUGGUUAAGUGGGAAACGAUGUGGGAAGGCCCAGACAGCCAGGAUGUUGGCUUAGAAGCAGCCAUCAUUUAAAGAAAGCGUAAUAGCUCACUGGUCGAGUCGGCCUGCGCGGAAGAUGUAACGGGGCUAAACCAUGCACCGAAGCUGCGGCAGCGACACUAUGUGUUGUUGGGUAGGGGAGCGUUCUGUAAGCCUGUGAAGGUGGCCUGUGAGGGUUGCUGGAGGUAUCAGAAGUGCGAAUGCUGACAUAAGUAACGAUAAAGCGGGUGAAAAGCCCGCUCGCCGGAAGACCAAGGGUUCCUGUCCAACGUUAAUCGGGGCAGGGUGAGUCGACCCCUAAGGCGAGGCCGAAAGGCGUAGUCGAUGGGAAACAGGUUAAUAUUCCUGUACUUGGUGUUACUGCGAAGGGGGGACGGAGAAGGCUAUGUUGGCCGGGCGACGGUUGUCCCGGUUUAAGCGUGUAGGCUGGUUUUCCAGGCAAAUCCGGAAAAUCAAGGCUGAGGCGUGAUGACGAGGCACUACGGUGCUGAAGCGACAAAUGCCCUGCUUCCAGGAAAAGCCUCUAAGCAUCAGGUAACAUCAAAUCGUACCCCAAACCGACACAGGUGGUCAGGUAGAGAAUACCAAGGCGCUUGAGAGAACUCGGGUGAAGGAACUAGGCAAAAUGGUGCCGUAACUUCGGGAGAAGGCACGCUGAUAUGUAGGUGAAGCGACUUGCUCGUGGAGCUGAAAUCAGUCGAAGAUACCAGCUGGCUGCAACUGUUUAUUAAAAACACAGCACUGUGCAAACACGAAAGUGGACGUAUACGGUGUGACGCCUGCCCGGUGCCGGAAGGUUAAUUGAUGGGGUUAGCGGUAACGCGAAGCUCUUGAUCGAAGCCCCGGUAAACGGCGGCCGUAACUAUAACGGUCCUAAGGUAGCGAAAUUCCUUGUCGGGUAAGUUCCGACCUGCACGAAUGGCGUAAUGAUGGCCAGGCUGUCUCCACCCGAGACUCAGUGAAAUUGAACUCGCUGUGAAGAUGCAGUGUACCCGCGGCAAGACGGAAAGACCCCGUGAACCUUUACUAUAGCUUGACACUGAACAUUGAGCCUUGAUGUGUAG